rnacentral:lncRNA from 1 species
UUUGUUUUCCUUUUGUUUUGAACUUACAAUUGAACACAAAAACAAAAGUGCACAGGUUGCGAGCACACACGAGCUGGUGAGUUCUCACAAACAAAAUAGCGUGUGGGUGCCUGGGUGGCUCAGUGAGUUAAGUGCCCAACUUUUGAUCCCAGCUCAGGGCAUGAUUUCACGGUUGGGGAGUUCGAGUCCCACUUCGGUCUGGUCUGCUAGGCGAUAGUGCAGUGCUGCGCGGAACAUGCUUGGGAUUUUGUCUCCCUCCCUGCCCCUCCAUCGCUCCCCCGCGCCAGCGCGCGCUCCCUCUCUCAAAAUAAAUAACUUAAAAAAAAAAUUUUAAUAAACAACAACAACAACAACAACAACAACAACAACAACAACAACAACAACACAGGGAGCAACAGCACUGGAAACAGAAGGGCAACCCAACCCCACAAAGCUUGCUGGGGCAGCCCCACCCGCCGUCCUCAAGUCUGCGGCUUUCCCUGCAGAAGGGCCCUAUAGGCGCGACGCGGGAUUGGGAGGGGGAGGGGGGGGUCGUGCGUCCCCAAGUCCCCGGUCCCCUGGACAACCCGGGCCCCCUCCCCUGCAGCUCUGGGCCCUCCCCCACGCCCUCCUCGUGCAGCCCCGGCUCCCUCUCCUUCUCCAGUACAGUCUCGCCCCCUCCUGAGCAGCUCCCAGCCCGGGCCUUUGGAGGCAGCCAGUAGCUCGCGUCCUGCCUCCCCUGGGCCCAGCUGGGGAGCCUCAGCCCCUGCGGCCUCCCCCAACCCUCGCCAUCGGCCCCGCCCUCCUGGCGAAGUCGGCGGAUCCUCUCCGGGAGUCGGUUGGGCGGGAGGUCCCAUCGGCGCCUGCGCGUGGGGCGGGCGAAAAGAGCCCGGAACCCUGCUUCCUGCCUCGCGUUUCCCUCCGGUGGGGUCGGAGCGCUGCAGUGGGCGCGCCAGCACCGCGGCCGUCGGACUCGGGUCACUAUGGCAACGCGGCGGGGCCGGAGGCUGCGGCGGACGGUCGUUCCGGAGAAGCGCCACUCCGCGACGGAUUGGAGAUAAGAGAGCAGAGGAAGCUGCUCGAGUGCGGCGGGGGGAGCGCCCCCCGAGCGGAGCCGUGUGCGCGACGGGCGGGCCGCUGGCUCUCGGAAGCUUCUGGGCUCCAGUCCUCGCUCAGCUCCUUCGCUGCCUCGUUUUCUCAUCUGCAAAGUGGGAGAGCGCUUCGCGAGCCUGUUCAAAGGACCUGGCUCUCGUCGGUGAGCGGCCGGUCCCCGUCUUCCCUUCCUCGGUGGUCCUCCUAGACAUCCUGCCCCGCUCCCUCUGCUGCAGGGUGAGGGUAGGGUAG